rnacentral:rRNA from 1 species
GUGUCAGCAGCCGCGGUAAUACGUAGGGUGCAGGCGUUAAUCGGAAUUACUGGGCGUAAAGCGUGCGCAGGCGGUUUGUUAAGACAGAUGUGAAAUCCCCGGGCUUAACCUGGGAACUGCGUUUGUAACUGGCAAGCUAGAGUGUGGCAGAGGGGGGUAGAAUUCCAGGUGUAGCAGUGAAAUGCGUAGAUAUCUGGAGGAAUACCGAUGGCGAAGGCAGCCCCCUGGGUUAACACUGACGCUCAUGCACGAAAGCGUGGGGAGCAAACAGGAUUAGAUACCCUGGUAGUCCACGCCCUAAACUAUGUCAACUGGUUGUCGGGGGAGCAAUCCCUUGGUAACGAAGCUAACGCGUGAAGUUGACCGCCUGGGGAGUACGGCCGCAAGGUUAAAACUCAAAUGAAUUGACGGGG